CAGGCCAUUACUGAACCUGCCACCAUGUGGAUUCCCCCAGGUGGUCCAUCUCUUGGAACAAGGAAGAGCCCUUCUUCAGGACCUUGGAGGCUUUACCAGCAGCAAAGAAAUUGCCACUCAGCUUGCACGCAGCUCGCAUAAGCAGAUUGAAGAAGAAAUGAAAUAAGAAGAUGCUAUAGCUACUAUUUCCAUUAAAAGCUUCCAGGCCUCCUUCUCUCCUUGACUUGUGCCCCCUUCUUCUACUUUCAAGAAUCAUAAAGGCCAAAGGAUGAUUCAUGUCUUGGGCUGGAUGGAGCUGGAAGGUGAG